UGGCUCAGUUGGUAGAGCAUGAUGUUUGCGACGCCAGGGUUGUGGGUUCGAUUUCCAC
rfam:Salmo salar isolate Sally breed double haploid chromosome ssa14, whole genome shotgun sequence.